rnacentral:rRNA from 1 species
GUGGGGAAUCUUGCGCAAUGGGCGAAAGCCUGACGCAGCCAUGCCGCGUGAAUGAUGAAGGUCUUAGGAUUGUAAAAUUCUUUCACCGGGGACGAUAAUGACGGUACCCGGAGAAGAAGCCCCGGCUAACUUCGUGCCAGCAGCCGCGGUAAUACGAAGGGGGCUAGCGUUGCUCGGAAUUACUGGGCGUAAAGGGCGCGUAGGCGGACAGUUUAGUAAGAGGUGAAAGCCCAGGGCUCAACCUUGGAAUUGCCUUUGAUACUGGCUGUCUUGAGUACGGGAGAGGUGAGUGGAACUCCGAGUGUAGAGGUGAAAUUCGUAGAUAUUCGGAAGAACACCAGUGGCGAAGGCGACUCACUGGCCCGUUACUGACGCUGAGGCGCGAAAGCGUGGGGAGCAAACAGGAUUAGAAACCCGUGUAGUCC